rnacentral:rRNA from 1 species
GACGAACGCUGGCGGCGUGCUUAACACAUGCAAGUCGAACGGAAAGGCUCCAGCUUGCUGGAGUGCUCGAGUGGCGAACGGGUGAGUAACACGUGGGCAAUCUGCCCUGCACUCUGGGAUAAGCCUGGGAAACUGGGUCUAAUACCGGAUAGGACCCUUCUCCUCAUGGGGUUUGGUGGAAAGUUUUUCGGUGCAGGAUGAGCCCGCGGCCUAUCAGCUUGUUGGUGGGGUAAUGGCCUACCAAGGCGACGACGGGUAGCCGGCCUGAGAGGGUGAUCGGCCACAUUGGGACUGAGAUACGGCCCAGACUCCUACGGGAGGCAGCAGUGGGGAAUAUUGCACAAUGGGCGAAAGCCUGAUGCAGCGACGCCGCGUGAGGGAUGACGGCCUUCGGGUUGUAAACCUCUUUCAGUAGGGACGAAGCGCAAGUGACGGUACCUGCAGAAGAAGCACCGGCUAACUACGUG